rnacentral:rRNA from 1 species
UCGGACUUCGGUCUGGCGAGUAGAGUGGCGAACGGGUGAGUAACGCGUGGGCAAUCUGCCCUCGAGUGGGGAAUAACCAUUCCAACGAGUGGCUAAUUCCGCAUAGUCCCCUUCCUCCGCAUGAGGGAAAGGGUAAAGGUGGGGAUCUUCGGACCUGCCGCUCGAGGAGGAGCCCGCGUCCCAUUAGCUUGUUGGCGGGGUUACGGCCCACCAAGGCGACGAUGGGUAGCCGAUCUGAGAGGAUGACCGGCCACACUGGGACUGAGAUACGGCCCAGACUCCUACGGGAGGCAGCAGUCGAGAAGCUUCGGCAAUGGGGGAAACCCUGACCGAGCGACGCCGCGUACGGGAUGACAGCCCUCGGGUUGUAAACCGCUGUCAGAAGGGAAGAAUCCUUCCGGGUCAAUACCCUGGAAGUUGACGGUACCUUCAGAGGAAGCUCCGGCUAACCCCGUGCCAGCAGCCGCGGUAAUACGGGGGGAGCGAACGUUGUUCGGAUUUACUGGGCGUAAAGGGCGUGUAGGCGGCUUGGCAAGUCAGGGGUGA